rnacentral:rRNA from 1 species
UACGUAGGUGGCAAGCGUUGUCCGGAUUUACUGGGCGUAAAGAGCGCGCAGGCGGUCGUUCAAGUCGCGUGUGAAAGCCCCCGGCUCAACUGGGGAGGGUCACGCGAUACUGAUCGACUGGAAGGCAGGAGAGGGUAGUGGAAUUCCCGGUGUAGUGGUGAAAUGCGUAGAGAUCAGGAAGAACAUCGGUGGCGAAGGCGCUCUGCUGGACCAUAACUGACACUCAGGGACGAAAGCUAGGGGAGCGAAUGGG